GAGGCUGGGGCUGCCACAUGCUGCUUUGCCAUGGGCAUUCUGGGUAAGAAUAAUAAUGAGGCUAUUAAUAACUUCUUACCUCUGUAUAAGUCUUAAAGACCUCUCUCAAGAUGUGUCUCACCGCCUGCACACCCAUGAUCUCAUUCCAUUUUCAAGACAACUUUGUACAUCUGUGGGACCAUGGCCCCUAUUUGGUAGUAGAGGACACCGAGGCACAGGGAGGGGAUUGUUACAUGCUAAUCAGGCCAUACUGCUAAUAAGUGGCUGAGCAGGUACUGGAGCCCAGAUUUCCGGGGGUCAUCUCUUCGGUCAUCCCAUUGCAAUGUGUAGUUCCAGAAAGCCAGAGUUUUCUGCUGGGUUAUUUUGAAGCUACCUCUGGGAACAAAGUAGUACAGAGCCUCCCAGGCCAAUGCAUUUGUUCCCAGGUCAGUCAAGAGCCGUUUACCCAGCACUUCCAUAAUCUAUACCCUGUGCCAGACCUCACACAGCCAUCAACAAAACAUAGUUCUUGCCAUCAAAGAGCUCAUGGUUUGGUGAGAAGAGACUGAAAUCCUUAGAUCAUCUCAAUACCAUAGGAUUCAUGUAGGGACCAAGGUAGCACAGGGUGUUGUGGGAGUACACAGGAGGAUCCCUAAGCCAGCAUGGAAGCAUCAGAGAGGGUUUCCCGAAGGAGGUGAUGUACCAACCAGUUCCUUAACCAAGGUAUUCUCUCUGAUUGUGCCACUCUUCUAAAUAUCAGCCUACACCAGGCUGGGCACGGUGGCUCAUGCCUGUAAUCCCAGCACUUUGGGAGGCCAAGGCGGGUGGAUCACCUGAGGUCAGGAGUUCGAGACCAGCCUGGCCAACAUGGAGAAACUCCAUCUCUACUAAAAAAUACAAAAUAAGCUGGGUGUGGUGGUGUGAGCCUGGGAUCCCAGCUACUCAGGAGGCUGAGGCAGGAGGAUCACUUGAACCCUGGAAGGCAGAGUACAGUGAGCCGAGAUCAUGCCAUUAUACUCCAGCCUAGGCAACAAGAGUGAAACUCCGUCACAGAAAAACAAACAAAAAAACCCAACAUACACCCUUUCUCCUUACCCACAACCCUACCCUCUGGCUUCUUUCAGGUCAGGUAUAACCAAGCAGCAGUAGCUAGAAGCCAGAACAAACCCAUCCUGCAGCCCAGGGCUUGCCCCCAUCAGACCCCAUGGCUGGAAAUGGACAAAGGAUUGGACUCUGAGCCCAGCUCUACCUCAGACUUGCUGCUCAUGCAGCAGUGUAGAUUCCGGGGGUUGGUGAGUUACCUGAUUCACCAGCCUACCCUUAGUUCAGUCUGCUCAGCAAUCAUCUCAGAUGUGCAAAAACCUAGCCUACUUUUUAAAGUAGGCUGAUCAGAUUGCACGUUGCUCUAGCUAAUUCCCGGCAUUUAAUGUUCUUCCCUAACCUGGAUCUGUCAUUUCUGUCAUGACUAAAACUUAACCUUUUUCUAUUUGGUCUUUAGAGGAGACAGGGCAGUCGGUCAUAUUUCUCAAGGCAAAGGGCCUCCUUAGGCUUGAAAGCCAUAAUCAAAUCGCCCCUUAGGCUUCUCCAUCUGAGGUUGAUGGAUCUCAGUUGCUUUCCUGGUUAAUUACAGCUGUAUCCUUUCUUCCUCUUAAGGCCUCUGCCCUUAUCCUUUAGCUGAGGAAUCCAAGACUGGACAAAGAGUAGCCCCAAAGUGCCCAUCUGACCUGACGACAGUGGGAAAAGGAUAGGAACCAUGGGACAAUCUAUGGGGUUGGCAUGGAGAAUCUGGUGUGCAGGAGUGGCAGGAGACAGUUAGCAGAGGUCAGAUCAUGCCAGCUUCAUCCACCCGAGGCAAAAAAGGGACACUCUGUGGAAUCCUGAGCUGCUCCACCCCUUCAGGGAUGGACAGAUGUAAAGAGAAGAAGCUUGUGACUACCCUCCAACCCCUCAGGGAUGGACAGAUAGUAAAGAGAAGCUUGUGACUAUAGCUGUGGAGGGGCAAAAAGCAAAGGAACUCCAGGAGCCCGUAAGGGAGAAGUGUUUGGCUAGGGCAGGAGUGCCGAAAGUGGAGCAUCACAGGGAAGCCACAUGCGAUAAGGACUGAGAAGUGGCCAUUGGAUUUCAAAACAAGGAAGUCAUUGGAGACCCAGGGAGAGCAGCCUGAGUGAAGGGGUGAGAGCAAAAUGUGGAGGCAGGCAAUGUGCAUGACUCUCUCAAGAAGUCUGGCUGUGAAGGAAGACAUGGUUACCAGCCUCCAAAUGCCCCCCCCCGUGAUCCAACAUCUUGGUAUCCUCAGCCUUGUUUGUUCCCUCCCACAUCGUAUUGGAGUUGGUCUGUGUGCCCAGUAGGACACAGCAGAAGGGAUGGACUGUCACUCCCAAGAUUCAAGUACAGUAGCUCCUUGACUCAUGAGGGGGUUACAUCCCAAUUAACCCAUCAUAAGGGGAAAAUACCAUAAGUCAAAAAUGCAUUUACGUUGGGCAUAAUGGCUCACACCUGUAAUCGAAGCACUUUGGGAGGCUGAGGUGGGAGGAUUGCUUGAGUUCAGGAGUUUGAGACUAGCCUGGGCAACACAGUAAGACCCUGUCUCUAUUAAAAAAAUGCAAAAAUUAGCCAAGCAUGGUGGCACACAUCUAUGGUCCCAAGUAAUCCCAACUACUUGGGAAGCUGAGGCAGGAGUUCGAGGAUACAGUGAGCCACGAUCAUGCCACUGCACUCCAUCCAGCCUGAGCAUUUAACAAACCUAAUUUACCAAACAACAUAGUUUAGCCUAGCCUACUUUUUUUUUGAAAUGGAAUCUUACUCUGUCAUUCAGGCUGGAAUGCAGUGGCGUGAUCAUGGCUCACUGCAACCUCCACCUCCUGAGUUCAAGUGAUUCUCCUGCCCCAGCCUCCCAAGUAGCUGGGACUGCAGAAAUGCACCACCACGCCUUAUUUUUGUAUUUUAGUAGAGACAGCAUUUCACUAUGUUGGCCAGGCUGGUCUCAAACUCCUGACCUCAAGUGAUCCACCCACCUCAGCCUCCCAAAGUGCUGGAAUUAAAGGAGUGAGCCACUGUACCUGGUGGCUACUAACCUGCUUUAAGCAUGCUCAGUACACUUAUGUUAGCCUCCAGUUGGACAAAAUCAUCCUGUAACACGCCACACCACAGACUACUGGUUGUUUUUUGUUUUGUUUUGUUUUUGAGACAGUGUUGUUCUGUCACCCAGGCUGGAGAGCAGUGGUGCAAACUUGGCUCACUGCAACCUCCACCUCCCAGGUUCAAGCAAUUCUAGGGCCUCAGCCACCUGAGUAGCUGGGAUUACAGGUGUGUGCCACCACACCUGGAUAAUUUUUGUAUUUUUAGUAGAGACAGGGUUUUUCCAUGUUGCUCAGGCAGGUCUCAAACUCCCGGCCUCAAGUGAUCCACCAGCCUGAGCCUCCCAGAGUGCUGGGCUUACAGGUGUGAGCCACUGUGCCUGGCCAAGUAUUGGCUGUUUACCUUUGUGCUUCCAUGCUGACUGGGAGCUGGCACUUACUACCACUGCCCAGCAUCACAAGGGAGUAUUAUACUGAAUUGCCAGCCUAGGAAAAGAUCAAAAUUCAAAAUAUGAUUUCUACUUAAUGUAUAGUAUUUUUUCACCAUUGUAUAGUUGAAAAAUCUUAAGUGGAACCAUGGUAAGUCAGGGAUCAUCUGUGUAAAAUACAUCGUAGCUUCCAUUUUAGCCUCAUUUGGUCUGAUUCAUCACUCUGGAGGAAGCUUGCUGCAUGUGAUAAGGCCCAGGUGGCGAGGAAUUUAGGCUUCCUGCCAAUAGGCAUGACAGUGAACCGCGUUGGAAACAGAUCUUCCAGCCCCAGUCAAACCUUCAGGAAACUGCAGCCCCAUCUUGACUGCAGGCUCAUGAAGAGACCUGAGCCAUCUUGCCUAGCUACUCCCUGAUACCUGACUCUCAGAAUUUUUUUUUUUUUAUCUUUUGAGACCUGGUCUCACCCUGUUACCCAGGCUGGAGCGCAGUGAUGUCACUAUGGCUCACUGCAGCCUUGAUCUUCCAGGCUCAAGCAAUCCUCCUGUCUCAGCCUUCCAAGUAGCUAGGACUGUAGGCAUGUGCCACCAAGACCAGCUACAUUUUUUUGUAUUUUUUGUUGAGAUACGGUUUCGCCACGUUGCCCAGGCUGGCCUUGAACUCCUGAGCUCAAGCGAUCUUGCCCACUUGAGCCUCCCAAAGUGCUGAGCUUACAGGUGUGAGCCCCUCCACCAGGCCUUGUUUAUUGUUUUAUGUUUGUUGUUUUAAGCUGCUAAAUUUUGGGGUAAUUUGUUACACAAGCAAUAGAGAAUGAAGGUAGGGAGACUGAGAUAAGGAUGUGAGGACCAGGGAGAGGAUUUUUGUUUUGUUUUUAAAGAGUGAAUCUCAAACAUGUUUAAAUGCUAAUGACAAGAAGCCAGUAGAGAGGGGAAAGUGGAAAAUUAGAGAGAAGGGCAUGGAAAAUCAAUUGAAUGAGGUUUUCGGGCAGGUGGAAAGGGAAAGGGCCUAAUGUAAGGCGUUAGCCUGAGUUUCUAAGAGGGACACCUGGAUCCUCUCCCACUGUGACCAGAGAGCAAAGGAAGAAAGGACAAAACCUGUUUGGUGACAGGAUGCUGAUGGAAUUUCUGCCAAAUGUCUUAUUUUCUCAUGAUAUUAUCUGCUGAGAAUGUGGAGGGAGAUGUUGGGGAAGGUGCUAUCUUGAAAAAAGUGGAGAAAGUCUGAAAGAGCUGAUGUUGAGCUCUAGAAAGAGAGAGCUAAGGAAAGAGAAGAAAACUCUCGGCCAUAUGAAAACUUGGCAUGAUGAAGGCCAUGACUGUCUAGUCCCCUCAGUCUGGGCAGCUGUGUGAUUUUUCUCCAGUGGUGCCCAGAAUGCUAGAUAUGGGUGCAGAAAAAGGCGAAUAAUUGAAUUACCUUUGAGCUGGGGCUCUGCCAAAGGGGAAUCAUGAAAACACAAGGGGGCCACGGAGAUGAGGCUCUUCAAAUAAGAGUGAUUAGAAGAGGCCAGGUGCAGCGGCUCACGCCGGUAAUCCCAGCACUUUGGGAUACUGAGGCGAGUAGAUCACUUUGAGCUCAGGAAUUCAAGAUGAGCCUGGCCAACAUGGUAAAACCCUGUGUCUAACAAAAGUACAAAAAGUAGCUGGGCAUUGGUAGCUGGCCCUUGUAAUCCAAGCUACAGCUAUUAAUACAUGGGAGGCUAAGGUGGGAGAAUCGCUUGAACCCAGGGGGCGGAGGUUGCAGUGAGCCGAGACCACACCACUGCACUCCAGCUUGGGUGACAAAGCAAGACCUGGUCUCAAAAAAAAAAAAAAGAAUGGAACGUGGAUCCAGGAUGGAAGGGAAAAUAGGAAGGGCUAAUACAAGGAGACAAGAAAAAGCCAGUGGUCUCUCGGUGGACCAGCACUGUCUCAAGGAAGUCGUAGUUUGAUAGGCUGGGGAAGAGCACGAAGCGCGUGGGGUUGUAGCCCACCUGCAGAAAAUUUGGAUCUAACAUUCCAGAGGUGGGGCAGCUCUGAAAUGACCAGGUUCAGGGGGUGGCUGUGGAAUGGAGACCUACAGUAGAGUGACCAAGCUAUUAGGAGGGUGGUCCCUAUGGAUGUGACAUCAUCCCAGAUGAUUAUGACAUUUAACUUUGCAGCUAUUAACAAGCAGAGUGAGGUCUUCUGUGAGCAAGUGGAUCCAUGACAGCACCAGGAAGAGCAGAGUGUAGAGUAGGUGGCAGAAGCCCCGCUGGAGCUUCCAUGAGACAGUGAGGCAGGGCAGGGCUUAAUGGCUUAUGGAUCCGGAGGCUGCCAUCUGCUUCCUGAGUUUAAAGCCUGAGAAGAAAACCUCAGCUUCCACCUGAGAAGGCACCAAGGGAAGCCUUGUCCUUCUGGGAGAGCCAGACCAUCAGGCCACAGAGACGAGGGGGAGGAAGAGCAGGAGGUCCCCAGAGGUCCAGGGGAAAUUUCGAAUGGAUGGGAAGCCACGAAAGGAGGGAAGGGGAAUCCUAGAAGAAUCUGAGAGGAGAGCAGAAGCCUGGCUGGCAGAAGGGGCUACUUACUUCUUGAGGACAGUAGAUUUGGCUGGCUUCAAUUUUUAAAGAACUUCAUCUGGCUCUUGCUUCUAGAAUCCUGCUGCUGAGACCCAAGGUGGCCCUCCUAGGAAGUCCUAUUGCAUACACCCAGCCCUGACUGAUGGACAACACACCAGGCUCCUAGACUGUGGUUUCCAGCUCCAACUUGGCAGGAAAGUGGCUGCAUGACCCUCAACCCCAAGCUCCGGUGACCCCUCUUAUAAGAUGGAAAUAAAAUGAAUUUAUAUCUCAUUGGGAAAAGGAAAUGAAAAUUUAAAAGUCAGAGAAUUGAAAAGGAUCUUUAUUUUAUGUAUUUUCUUUUUUAGAUGGAGUUUCACUCUUGUUGCCAGACCAGAGUGCAAUGGCACAAUCUCGGCUCACUGCAACCUCCACCUCCUAGGUUCAAGUGAUUCUCCUGCCUUAGCUUCCCGAGUAGCUGGAAUUACAGGUGCCCACCACUAUGCCCAGCUAAUUUUUUGUAUUUUUAAUAAAGACGGGUUUCACCAUUUUGGCCAGCCUCCCAAGUAGCUGAGAUUACAGGCAUGCACCACCACACCUGGUAAAUUUUUUUGUAUUUAGUAGAGAUGGGGUUUCACCAUGUUAGUUAGGCUAGUGUCAAACUCCUGACCUCAGGUGAUCCACCUGCCUACUCUGACCUCAGGUGAUCCACCUGCCUCAGCCUCCCAAAGUGCUGGGAUUACAGGCAUGCGCCAUUGUGCCCAUCAAAGGAUCUUUAAUAUGACCUACCUACCUCCUUCACUUUUUAUGUAAGAAAACCAACACCCGGAGAGGGGAUGAGACCUUCUGAUGGCACGCAGCUGCUGGCAGCAAGGGCAAGUCAAGAAACCAAGCCCUCACUCUUUCCUUGGCUCAGUCUUGUAAAGAGAGCUGGGUGAUAUAACCAUUAGACUCCUAGAGAGAGCAUUGGAUUUGGAGUCUGAAGGACAAAUCCUGACCUUAAUACCUGGAUAACCCUGGGCAAGUUACUUAACCUGUUUGCCUUGGCUUCCACAUCUAUCUAAGGGAGACAACAGUGCCUCUCAUAUGAGGCGUUGUAAUCAGAUUAGAAAAUGGCAUCUUGCUGGCUAAUGCCCUUUUCAGCCUUAGCCAACCUGCACCCAGGUAAAUUAAAAGAAAAAAAAAAGGCCAGGUGCGGUGGCUCACGCCUGUAAUCCCAGAACUUCGGGAGGCCAAGGCGGGCGGAUCACAAGGUCAAAAGAUCAAAACCAUCCUGGCCAACAUGGUGAAACCCCAUCUCUUAAAAAAAAGAUUACAUCUUGCCUGGUACAUAAUAGGUAUUAAUAAUUGUAGGGGCCGGGCACAGUGGCUCACGCCUAUAAUCCCAAUACUUUGAGAGGCUGGGGCAGGUGGAUCAGUUGAGGACAGGAACUCAAGACCAGCCUGACCAACAGGCCGAAACUCCAUCUCUACAAAAAGUAUAAGAAUUAGCCAGCAUUAAUAGUGGCGCACCCCUGUAGUCCCACUACUUGGGAGGCUGAGGCACAAAAAUCCCUUGAACCCAGGAAGCAGGGGAUGCCGUGAGUCUAGAUCACACCACUGCAUUCCAGCCUAGGCAGCAGAGGCUGCCGUGAGUCUAGAUCACACCACUGCAUUCCAGCCUAGGCAGCAGGGCAGCAAUACUCCAUCUCAAAAAAAAAAAGAUAUUUCUUUCCUACUCUAGUCUUGCCCUCCUUCCUCCUUGGUUCUGUAAGAAAUUCAGCAUUUUAUUUGAUUAGAAAUUCCUUAAGGGAAAGGACUAUACUUUAUUUGCCUUUGUAAUUCCAGUGUCUUGCACAUAGCAGGGCCUCAAGAGAAGAUUCUGAGAUACUGGGAGAGCAGCACAGAGCAGUCUUUUGUCCCCGUGGCAGUUGCCACCGUUUUAUCAUACAGGAUUUUCUCAGGUGGUACAGAGGGAAGACAAGAGGAGACACAGCCUGUUUUGUAGGAUGUGAGGCUGUCCCCUGGCCUCAAUGGCCUCAGUCCCCGCUCUUCUUGGAGGCUAAAUUCCCUGACACUCACAGUUAUGGGCAGAGCCCGGAUCCUAGCAGGAGAUGGAUAUCUGGGGAGCAAGUGUGGGGCUGGGGGCAGCCAGGGGAUCCACUGAAAGGAGUCUCAUCUCUCUCUCCGGAGAAAAAGGAACACCAUUCAGCCAUCAAUGCUGGAGGGAAAACAGCACAAUUGGAGGGAGGGGCACCCAGAAGUGGGGUCAGAGCUGCAGGUGAAGAAGGUCUUAGGAGUCUGGAAGGGAGAGGAUGAGAGCCUGAAGAGUGAGCAGGAAAGCUUAGAAGCCAGGUCAGAUUGGGGAAGAAGGGGCAGAGCACAGUGGCUCACACCUAUAAUCCCAGCACUUUGGGAGGCCAAGGCAGGCAGAUCACCUGAGGUUAGGAGUUUGAGACCACGCUGGCCAACAUGGUGAAAUCUUGUCUCUACUAAAAAUACAAAAAUUAGCCAGGCAUGGUGGUGGGCACCUGUUCCAGCUACUUGGGCGGAUGAGGCAGGAGAAUCUCUUGAACUCAGGAGGUGAGAAUCACUUGAAUUUAGGAGGAGGAGGUUGCAGUGAGCCAAGAUUGUGCCACUGAACUCUAGCCUGGGCAACAGAGCAAGACUCUGUCUCAUAAAAAAGAAUGGGGAAGAAAGAAGGGUACUGGCAUAUUCUGCUCCAGCCAGGCACAGCUCCAGACAAGAGUGGAGCCAGGUGAGGCCUGCGGAACCCAGGGUGGUGCAGGGAUGUGAAAGGUGUUCUCAGCCAGGCUGGCCUCCCCUGGUUCCUUCAGGCCCUUCUAGGCAGAGCACAAAAAAAUAAUGAGAAUGGAAAGAGAUUUAUCUCAAGGAAUUCGUUCACACAGCUGUGAAGGCUGCAAGUCUGAAAUCUCUAGGACAGGCCUGCCGGCUGGAAACUCUCAGGCAGGAGCUGACACUGCAGUCUCGAGGCAGAAUUUCUUCUUUCUCGGGGAAACCUCGGUUUUGCUUUUAAGGCUUUCCAGUAGAUUGGAUGAGGCACACCCACAUUAUCAAGAAUAAUCUCCUUCACUGAAAGGCAACUGUAGACUUACAGUCACAGACAACUGCUAACCACAUCUAUCAAAUAUCUUCAUGGCAACACCUCAAUUAGUGUUUGAUUGAGUAACUAUAACCUAGCCAGGUUGACACAUACACUUAACCCUCACAAUGGGGGAAUUCGUUUUCCUUUGAAUUGAUAUGUAUUUAUUUCCUAAUUGUGUUAGGAACAUUCUAACUGCUUAUCAAAACCUUGAUUUCACAGCUGUUAUUGCCUAAGAUGAGGUUAAGUUUUAAAAGUGAGCUAAGUUAAAGAAACAUAUAAAGUAAACAAUAGUAGGUAGUACUUGAGAGGACAAAAAUCACGAAGGUGAUAAUACCUCACAACUGAAAUUUGGAAAACGGUGAAGAUGUUUAACUUCUGUAAAGAACACAGGCUUUAAGAUCAGAAAAAUCUGAAUUUGGACCAGUUCUACCUUUCUCCAAGUGUGCAACCUUGGACAGUCUACUUCAUUUAUUUCAUUAACUUCUGCUGUCUUGAUCUUUCUUAUUUCCUUCUUUCUUCGUAUUUUUUUUAUUCAGUUCUUUUUUUGGAGACAGAGCCUUACUCUGUUGUCCAGGUGGCACAAUCUCAGUUCACUACAACCUCCGCCUCCCCGGGUUCAAGCAAUUCUCCUGCGUCAGCCUCCCAAGUAGCUGGAAUUACAGGGUCAUCCGUCGGGGCAGAAGAACCCGGCUAAAGACCCAGAAGUUUUGAGGCCCUAUUGGGCUGUCAGCACCAUGGACAGCAAAACAGCCCUUGAGCGGCUGCCCAACAAAUUUGCUAACAUCUUGGACUCCGUUUUCCCUGUUUAAGAGAGAUUGACACAAUGAAGCUUGCCUAAGAAAUGCAACCAAUUGUUUUCUAAUAGUAAAACACAAGGUAUAGGGGUGGGAGUUGGGGGAUAGUCAAUGUGGUCCCGGCAGCGGAAAUAAAUGUGUUUCUUAUCUGUAUCCUCCAGCUGGUUCCAGGCUCUUCUCCUCUGACAUUAU